UUGAACGCUGGCGGCCUGCUUUACCCCUGCCAGUCGAACGGUAACAGGCCUUCGGGUGCUGCCGAGUGGCGAACGGGUGAGUAAUGCAUCGGAACGUGCCCAGAGGUGGGGGAUAACGCAGCGAAAGCUGUGCUAAUACCGCAUGUGAUCUGAGGAUGAAAGCGGGGGACCAGGCAGCAAUGUUUGGCCUCGCGCCUUUGGAGCGGCCGAUGUCAGAUUAGGUAGUUGGUGGGGUAAAGGCCUACCAAGCCGACGAUCUGUAGCUGGUCUGAGAGGACGACCAGCCACACUGGGACUGAGACACGGCCCAGACUCCUACGGGAGGCAGCAGUGGGGAAUUUUGGACAAUGGGCGCAAGCCUGAUCCAGCAAUGCCGCGUGCGGGAAGAAGGCCUUCGGGUUGUAAACCGCUUUUGUACGGAACGAAAAGGCUCUGGCUAAUACCUGGGGCUGAUGACGGUACCGUAAGAAUAAGCACCGGCUAACUACGUG
rnacentral:rRNA from 1 species